rnacentral:tRNA from 2 species
GGCCUCGUGGCCUAAUGGCUAGGGCGCUAGAUUUCGGUCUUCAAUAUUCCAAUCUCUAGAGAUUGUCGGUUCGAGUCCGGCCGAGGUCG